AGGACCGAACCAGACGUCUGUUGAAAAAGGCGGGGAUGAGCUGUGGAUAGCGGAGAAAUUCCAAUCGAACCCGGAGAUAGCUGGUUCUCCUCGAAAUAGCUUUAGGGCUAGCCUCGUAUUAGAUUACUGGAGGUAGAGCACUGAAUGGGCUAGGGGGCCACAAAGCUUACCGAACCCUAUCAAACUUCGAAUGCCAGGGAAUUGAUGUACGGGAGUCAGUCCGCGAGAGAUAAGUUCCGCGGGCAAAAGGGGAACACCCCAGAUCGUCCGCUAAGGUCCCGAAGUGCACGUUAAGUGGAGAAGGAUGUGGAAUUGCACAGACAACCAGGAUGUUGGCUUAGAAGCAGCCAUACAUUUAAAGAGUGCGUAAUAGCUCACUGGUCGAGUGGUUGUGCGCCGAAAAUGUCCGGGGCUCAAACGUGCCACCGAAGCGGCGGAUUUCAGUGAAAACUGGAGUGGUAGAGGAGCAACGUAUGCGGGUUGAAGCCGUACCGAGAGGAGCGGUGGACUGUAUACGAGAGAUAAUGCAGGUAUGAGUAGCGAGAGCAACGCGAGAAACGUUGCCGUCGAAAGCCCAAGGUUUCCUGGGGAAGGUUCAUCCGCCCAGGGUAAGUCGGGGCCUAAGCCGAGGACAGAAGUCGUAGGCGAUGGAUAGCAGGUGGAUAUUCCUGCACCGCCGAGGAAUGAGGCAGUGACACAGAAGGAUAGCUCGAGCCGGGUGAUGGUCAACCCGGUCCAAGCGGUAAGCUUGGGAUGUAGUGAAGUACGCAUCCCUUUCAGGUGAGCCGUGAUGGGGACCGAAAUAAAGUAGGGAAGCGAGUGAGUUCACGCUGGCGAGAAAAGCUGCUAGUAUAUCCGAAGGCGCCCGUACCGGAAACCGACGCAGGUGGGCGAGGAGAGAAUCCUGAGACGAACGGGAGAACCCUUGUUAAGGAACUCGGCAAAAUGACCCCGUAACUUCGGGAGAAGGGGUGCCUCGAAAGAGGCCGCAGAGCAUAGGCCCAAGCGACUGUUUAGCAAAAACACAGGUAUCUGCGAAAGCGAGAGCUGACGUAUAGGUGCUGACACCUGCCCGGUGCUGGAAGGUUAAGGGAAAAUGUCAGGGCAACCGAAGCAUAGAACCGAAGCCCCAGUAAACGGCGGCCGUAACUAUAACGGUCCUAAGGUAGCGAAAUUCCUUGUCGGGUAAGUUCCGACCCGCACGAAUGGUGUAACGAUUUGGGCACUGUCUCAACAGGGGGCCCGGUGAAAUUGAAGUAUGGGUGAAGAUGCCCAUUACCCGCGACUGGACGGAAAGACCCCGUAGAGCUUUACUGUAACCUGAUAUUGGAUUUCGGUAACGGAUGCACAGAAUAGGUGGGAGACUGGGAAAUACGUGUUUCGGCAUGUGUGGAGUCGCCGUUGGGAUACCACUCUUCUGUUAUUGGAAUUCUAACAUGACGCCGUAAGCCGGUGAAUGGACAGUGUCAGGCGGACAGUUUGACUGGGGCGGUCGCCUCCGAAAGAGUAACGGAGGCGCCCAAAGGUACCCUCAGAAUGGAUGGAAACCAUUCGAAGAGUGCAAAGGCAGAAGGGUGCCUGACUGCGAGAGUGACAACUCGAGCAGAGACGAAAGUCGGGCUUAGUGAUCCGGCGGUAUUGAGUGGAAAAGCCGUCGCUUAACGGAUAAAAGCUACCUCGGGGAUAA
rnacentral:rRNA from 1 species